UACGUAGGGUGCGAGCGUUGUCCGGAAUUAUUGGGCGUAAAGGGCUCGUAGGCGGUUUGUCGCGUCGGGAGUGAAAACAUCCAGCUUAACUGGGUGCUUGCUUUCGAUACGGGCAGACUAGAGGUAUGCAGGGGAGAACGGAAUUCCUGGUGUAGCGGUGAAAUGCGCAGAUAUCAGGAGGAACACCGGUGGCGAAGGCGGUUCUCUGGGCAUGAUCUGACGCUGAGGAGCGAAAGUGUGGGGAGCGAACAGG
rnacentral:rRNA from 1 species